rnacentral:piRNA from 1 species
UACUGUAGUACCACGGAAUAAACUUUAC